rnacentral:rRNA from 1 species
AACYMCUCCUACGGGAGGCAGCAGUGAGGAAUUUUGCGCAAUSGGGGAAACCCUGACGCAGCAACGCCGCGUGAGUGAAGAAGGCCUUCGGGUUGUAAAGCUCUGUCAAGUGGGAAGAAACUUUUUCGAUCGAAUAAGUCGAGAAAUUGACGGUACCGCUGARGGARGCACCGGCUAACUCCGUGCCAGCAGCCGCGGUAAUACGGAGGGUGCAGGCGUUAUUCGGAUUUAUUGGGCGUAAAGAGCGUGUAGGUGGUCUGAUAAGUCAGGUGUGAAAGCCCCUGGCUCAACCAGGGAAGUGCACUUGAAACUAUCAGACUUGAGUACGGGGAGGGGGAAGUGGAAUUCCUGGUGUARAGGUGAAAUUCGUAGAUAUCAGGAGGAAUACCGGUGGCGAAGGCGACUUCCUGGACCGAUACUGACACUGAGACGCGAAAGCGUGGGGGAGCAAACAGGAUUAGAUACCCUGGGUAGUCCACGCCGUAAAACGAUGGGCACUAKGUGUAGCGGGUAUUGACCCCUGCUGUGCCGAAGUUAAGGCAUUAAGUGCCCCGCCUGGGGGGUACGGCCGCAAGGCUAAAACUCAAAUGAAUUGACGG